rnacentral:lncRNA from 1 species
UUAAUUAAAUUCUUUUUAAUCUGACUUGGUGAAGUCAGUGGGAGGAUUGAAAUUGGCUGGUUAAUUUCUUCUCUUCUAUCCUUUAAUAAAAUCCUCAAAAAUUAUUAGAUCCCUAAAAAUGAUUAAGUUAUAGUGAUAAGUAAGUCAUAGCCUCCCAUUAAGUGAGUGAUAAUGAGUUCAUUAGUUUAAUAAUCACUGGAG